UCAAGAAACUUCCACAAUGGGCGAAAGCCUGAUGGAGCGACGUCGCGUGAUGGACGAAGUGCUUCGGCACGUAAACAUCUUUUUAUGUGGGAUGAAAUUAUUGACAGUACCACAUGAAUAAGGGGCUCCUAACUCUGUGCCAGCAGGAGCGGUAAUACAGAGGCCCCAAGCGUUAUCCGGAAUCACUGGGCGUAAAGGGUGUCGAGGCGGUUGUAUUAGUCGUUCGUAAAAUCUACGAGCUUAACUUGUAGGCGGCGAACGAAACGGUACGACUUGAGGUUUGGAGAGGUGCGUGGAACUCACGGUGUAGGGGUGAAAUCCGUUGAUAUCGUGGGGAACACCAAAGGCGAAGGCAGCGCACUGGCCAAAAUCUGACGCUCACACACGAAAGCUAGGGUAGCGAAGAGGAUUAGAUACCCAUGUAGUCCCUGAGCGGGCUGGCAAGGCGCAU
rnacentral:rRNA from 1 species